AGAAAGAGAGAGAAAGUAAAGAGUUAAAACCGAUAGCUCCAAAGCUUCUUCUGUCUCGCAGUUGAAAGAAAGCCUCUGGUAUUUCUGGUGUGAUUAUUUUUAUUUUUCAGAGAAAGAAUCUAAAGGACGAGAGUAAUACAAGUAUAAGAACAACAUCUAAAGAAGAAAGAAAGAGAUUUUCAUAGAUACCAAACAAGUCCUCUCUUCAAUCUUAAGUAUUCCAAAAAUCAAUCCAAAGAAAAGGGGACUUGGAUUGGUUGGUUGGAUAAGCAAGCAAUAAAUUCACUGCAAUUUUCUGGUUGAAUUUUGCAAAGAUAUGUUGGAGAGUCAGGCGUGUCUGAUCUCGAGGGCAUUGCCAAGCUCCUGUGAGCAAGAGAGUAAGUGGGUGUACAUGAGUUACCGUCUCAUCGAGGUUUCCAAUGGAAAGCGUCGUUUAGAUGAUGAAGGUGGGGAAGAAUUAGUUGGAGAGAGGAAGUCUUUGAAGCGAUUAGAUACUCACAAAGAAGAAGAAGGAGCAGAUGUUACUCAAGCACCCAAUAAUCUGUCUUUGUCUCUUGCCAUUGGAUCUGAUGAGCAAGGUGAUCAGGAUUUGGAUAAAACUGACAUGAAUAACGGGCUCCCAACAGAUGAUGAGGGGAAAGAACUGCAGCAGAACAUCGACAUGCAUGAUAGUCAUGAUGCAGAACAAGAAGACAUGAUCUGUGUUCGCGGUGUAAAAGAGAAUGAACAAGAAGUAGUCGUGAGGAUGAAUUCACUCAAGAGCAGUGACAUGCAAGGGGUAGAGGAAAAGAAUGAUACAGCACAUCAUCAGUCCCUAUCACGUGGCGACGGAAUUACUGGGCGGCUCAAUCAAGAAAAUCAAGAAGAAGCAAAUUGCAACCUUCUUUUAGAAGAUAACCAGAAAAGUAAACUUCUUUGGAGGGGUGAAUCCUCAAAUGGAAUUACGACGAGCCAGAGAGACCAGGUGACCCUUACCCUGAAUGAUCUUGUUCUGUCUCAUUGUACGAAACAAAUUGAUAUGAAUGAAAAUAUCUUCUUGCCUCGUGUUGAUCAAGAUUCUCUGCAACAUCAGGAUGCUCCGCAAUAUCAAGAUGCUCCGCAAGAUCAGGAUGGGGGUCAAGGACACAUGGAUUCCCUUAUCCAUCCUCUUGAUAGAGACAUCUCUAUCAGUUGUCUCCUUCAUUGUUCGCGAUCCGAGUAUAAUUCCAUAGCGUCACUCAAUCGUAGCUUUCGUAAUCUGGUUCGAAAUGGAGAACUUUACAGGUUGCGGCGUCAAAUGGGAGUGAUUGAGCAUUGGGUGUAUUUCUCUUGUGUGGCUCUCCAGUGGGAAGCUUUUGAUCCCAUUAGCCGUAGAUGGAUGCAUUUACCACCAAUGCAGUCAAAUGGGUGUUUUGUGUUCUCUGAUAAGGAGUCUCUUGCUGUUGGCACUGAACUUCUUGUAUUUGGGAAGGAAAUUACAUCCCAUAUUAUAUGGCGAUACAGUAUAUUGACAAACUCAUGGUCAUCUGGUAUGGAGAUGAAUGCCCCAAGAUGCUUAUUUGGGUCUGCUAGUCUUGGGGAGAUAGCUAUUCUUGCUGGAGGUUGCGAUUCACGAGGGAAAGUGUUGAGCUCUGCGGAAUUGUACAACUCAGAAACUGGAACGUGGGAGAUUCUCCCAAGCAUGAAUAAACCUAGGAAGAUGUGUUCAGGAGUGUUCAUGGAUGGGAAAUUUUAUGUUAUCGGGGGACGAAAUCAGGAUUUGCUCACCUGUGGGGAGGAGUAUAAUCUGGAGACAAGGACAUGGCGCGAGAUACCAAAUAUGUUCCCUAGCCAGAACGGGCCAGCUGAGGCUCCCCCUCUUGUUGCAGUUGUAAAUAAUGAGUUGUAUGCGGCUGAUUAUUUGGAGAAUGAACUAAGGAAGUACGAUAAGGAAAGGGUCUGCUGGGUGACAGUUGGCAGGUUGCCUGAGAGGGCGGUUUCAGUGAACGGUUGGGGGCUUGCGUUUAGGGCCUGUGGGAAGCAACUCAUAGUUAUUGGUGGGCCUAGGAAUGUGGCUGGAGGGAUCAUAGAGCUAAACUCAUGGAUCCCGAAUGACGGUCCACCACAGUGGAACCUACUAGCAACCAGACACACAGGGAGCUUUGUGUAUAACUGUGCCGUGAUGGGAUGCUGAUUUGUCAGGUUAGGCGACAACAUUGCAUAAGUCCCAAGUGCUUGAAGGGAUGUACAAGAUUUGUUUGCUUCAAGGGCAUAGUAUCUGGUUAUGUCGGUUACAUCAAAGAUCUCGUGAUCAUUACUCCAGCAUUGCCUUAUAAAUCACGUUUUAUUAUUCGGGCAAUAGAUACGCACAGGUUGUACAUGGUAGGUAGUCAGUACCGCUAGGAGACCCUCCCGAUCUCUCGGAAAAUGAUUACAGUACCGCUAGAAGACCAACUCAUGCACAUCUAACAACAAUUACACUACAAAAGAUGGUUAUAGAUGGCCAGUGCAAGAUGUCUGCUGCAACAUAACCCAUCUGGAGCAGGGUAUGAUUUUUAAUACAUCUGGAAGAAAAAUGUCCCUUAUAAAGCGCAGUUGUUUGCUUGUUUUGUGGUACAUAAUGCUAUUCCCACAGUGGAUAACCUAAACCAGAGAGGCCGUCAAGUAGAAGAAAUUUCAUGUUGCUUCUGUACUCUGCAUGAGGAAGAUGUAAAUCACACAAUGCUCCGUUGUAUUUUCCCUAAGGAAAUAUGGGAAUACUUCUUGUCAAGAAUGGAUAUUACUUGGGGGCAAAAGCAAACAAUACAGGAUCAGUUGGUUUGUUGGCCUGAACACACAGGUAAAUUGACUAGAAAGGUGUGGAUGCUGCUGCCUUUCACAAUCUUAUGGGCUUUGUGGACAGAGAGAAACAAGCGGGUGAUGGCAAAGAAAAGACAGAAAGACUCAAAAACCAUUAUUAAUGAAGUGAAGAGACUGAUAUUCCAAUGGGGAGGGAUCAGAAAUUGGUUUAGAGGCAUCGGUUUUGGUGAUCUUAUCAGAAACUGGGAAGCAAUUUCAUACCUAACAAAAUGCAAUCAUCUUACUUGGGGCCUGAACUUUAGUUCCAGAUUGUUUGUUGUUUGUAGGCCUUUUCUUUAAAUCAUAUUUGUCAAAAAAAGAAAAAGAAAAAAAAGAAAAGUCGACUGACGCACUGAUUUGGAAGGGGGUACUCCUCGUCGGAGGAAGCUAGCUGUGGGCAUGGACAAAUGGGUUCAGAAAUUGUGGGUAUGGAAAAAUGGGCUUGGGAAGCCCAUCGUAUCAUCAGAAAAGAACAAUUUUCUCGGGGACAAGCCCAUUUUGAGGGGACCAUUCCUCAAUUUGGACAAUAUAAAAGCCCCUUAUACCCUUCCUU